rnacentral:rRNA from 1 species
GACGAACGCUGGCGGCGUGCUUAACACAUGCAAGUCGAACGGAAAGGCCCUGCUUUUGUGGGGUGCUCGAGUGGCGAACGGGUGAGUAACACGUGAGUAACCUGCCCUUGACUUUGGGAUAACUUCAGGAAGCUGGGGCUAAUACCGGAUAGGAGCUCCUGCUGCAUGGUGGGGGUUGGAAAGUUUCGGCGGUUGGGGAUGGACUCGCGGCUUAUCAGCUUGUUGGUGGGGUAGUGGCUUACCAAGGCUUUGACGGGUAGCCGGCCUGAGAGGGUGACCGGCCACAUUGGGACUGAGAUACGGCCCAGACUCCUACGGGAGGCAGCAGUGGGGAAUAUUGCACAAUGGGCGCAAGCCUGAUGCAGCGACGCCGCGUGGGGGAUGACGGCCUUCGGGUUGGAAACUCCUUUCGCUAGGGACGAAGCUUUUUGUGACGGUACCUAGAUAAGAAGCACCGGCUAACUACGUG